rnacentral:rRNA from 1 species
AUUGAACGCUGGCGGCGUGCUUAACACAUGCAAGUUGAUCGGUAACGCGGGGGCAACCCUGGCGACGAGAGGCGGACGGGUGAGGAACGCUUGGGAAUCUGCCUAUCAGCGGGGGACAACCCGGGGAAACUCGGGCUAAUACCGCAUACGCUCUACGGAGGAAAGCCGGGGACCGCAAGGCCUGGCACUGAUAGAUGAGCCUAAGUCGGAUUAGCUAGUUGGUGGGGUAAAAGCUCACCAAGGCGAUGAUCGGUAACUGGUCUGAGAGGACGACCAGUAACACUGGGACUGAGACACGGCCCAGACUCCUACGGGAGGCAGCAGUGGGGAAUCUUGGACAAUGGGGGCAACCCUGAUCCAGCGAUGCCGCGUGGGUGAAGAAGGCCUUCGGGUUGUAAAGCCCUUUAGGCUGGGAAGAAGUGUGCGGGAUGAAUAAUCCUGUACAUUGACGGUACCAGCAGAAUAAGCACCGGCAAACUCUGUGCCAGCAGCCGCCGUAAGAC